rnacentral:rRNA from 1 species
GAGAUUUCCCACCGCGUUAGGCGGGUAAGAUCCCUCGAAGAUGACGAGGUCGAUAGGUCCGAGGUGGAAGCGUGGCGACACGUGGAGCUGACGGAUACUAAUCGAUCGAGGGCUUAACCUA